GAUGAAGAACGUAGCGAAAUGCGAUAAGUAAUGUGAAUUGCAGAAUUCAGUGAAUCAUCGAAUCUUUGAACGCACCUUGCGCCCUUUGGCCAUUCCGAAGGGCAUGCCUGUUUGAGUAUCAUGAACACCUCAACUCUUUAUGGUUUUCCAUGAUGAGCUUGGACUCUGGGGGUUUUGCUGGCUCACAGUCAGCUCCUCUAAAAUGAAUCAGCUUACCAGUGUUUGGUGGGUAUCAUGGGUGUGAUAACUAUCUACGCUUGUGGUUUUCCACCAGGUAACCUUCAGUGAUGAAGGUUCGCUGGGGCUCAUAAACGUCUCUCCUCAGUGAGGACAGCUCUUUGAACGUUUGAUCUCAAAUCAGGUAGGACUACCCGCUGAACUUAAGCAUAUCAAUAAGCGGAGGA
rnacentral:misc_RNA from 1 species